UAGCUUUAGGGCUAGCCUCAAGGGAGUCUAACGGAGGUAAAGCACUGAAUGGGCUAGGGGCCUUACCGGGUUACCGAACCCUAUCAAACUCUAAUGCCGUAUAGAUGCUCGUUGGGAGUCAGACAGCGUGAGAUAAGUUUCGUUGUCAAAGGGAAACAGCCC
rnacentral:ncRNA from 1 species